AGCGCAGGCGGUUUGAUAAGUCUGAAGUUAAAGGCUGUGGCUCAACCAUAGUUCGCUUUGGAAACUGUCAAACUUGAGUGCAGGAGGGGAGAGUGGAAUUCCAUGUGUAGCGGUGAAAUGCGUAGAUAUAUGGAGGAACACCGGUGGCGAAAGCGGCUCUCUGGUCUGUAACUGACGCUGAGGCUCGAAAGCGUGGGGAGCGAACA
rnacentral:rRNA from 1 species